rnacentral:lncRNA from 1 species
CUUCCAACAGAGACACUUCCGGCUGGGAAAUAAGUGGCGACGUUUCUUACAGGGUUGUACUGAAUGGAAAGUCCAGAAGGAUACCUUGAAGAAGUGUUUACCAAAAAAGAAAAAAAAUGAUGGAAGGAGUCAGACUGAAGCUCUGUGUGACUCACAUGGGCAUGAAAAAUGGUAGACUGGGCAAGUCUAGCCUCUCCCUGGAUGGCUGCCUCGGGAACCUAGGCCUGGUCUGUGAAGUGGCAGGGCUCUGCUGAGUUACAUGCAGCUGAGGUCAGCAUGACCCCAAUUAAAAGCCUUCCCCCUGAAUUAUGGCUUCUCACUGACCUGUUGGGUUGCUUGCUAAUUGUACCUGGCCCCAGUACUGCUUUGUUCUAUCCAAGCAAGACACAAACAGUGCUUCCUCUCCAACAGCCCUGCCUGGCACCAUCAUGCCAGGUGUUCGGCAGUGUUUCACUGGAUGUCUUCAAAGCAUAGCCAGCUCCCUAUUCCUUCCCACAACUGUAUUUAAUAAACACUGGAUGUGCUUGGGGGCCUUUGUCUUUGUUGCCAUCAGCAGCACUGAUCAGGAC